UUUAGUUUAGCAAAUGCGUGACAUUGAAAUUUAAAACUACCAUUAUUCAUCCUUUUUCAUUUCAGUACCAAAACAUUUAAUAAUGUUAUUAGCUGGAUUAUUGCAGAUAGGAGUAUGCAUCGCUAUGAGCAAAAACGCAUGUGCGCACGAACCCACAAAAGAAUUUGCAGAAUCAUAAAAUCCCGUGUGUUGUGUAAUCAUGGUAAGCAGGAAGAGCUGGCAUCAACGCAAAAUAUGUACUCGAUGAUGAUACUCGCAGUCCAUACAGUGUCAUGGUAUAGUUUAAGCAAAUGUCCUUAACGUACGUACCUACUUGGUUAGAGAAGAUAAUAUUUUCUUAUUCAGUCUCCACAAUUAACUAACUGACCCAUAUACUAAUCGUGGCAACAUGGCAAAUUAUAUGAUCUUUUUUAGUUAGUUUUCUUCAGUAAUACGUUCUUAAAUUAAAUGAUGGUAGCAACACGCAACUUGCACAUGAUAUGGCUAUAUAUCAUUUUAUCAUAUGCCGACGCACGGCAUGGCGAGAAGCCUUUUUUAUAUUUCCCCUAACUACGAGUAAUUAUAUGCGGAUGUAUUUGUCAAACUCAUGAAAGAUGAUUCGGUGAAUCAGUGGCAAACAUCUAUAACAAUACCAACUCGAUUGCUAAGAGGAACCCUAGGGGAAAGUGUUAUUAGUUAGAAUAUGCAUAACAAAGGCGUUGACUUUUUAAUAUUGGUCACUAGUUUUUUUUUACUUUCCGGGUGUUGUUCCAAAUUCAGCUAAUGGUGUAAUCAUCACAUAUACUGAAAUUUAUUUAUAAAGGUGGACCGACGUGACCUGUCGUGAUGCUGAUUCUCAUUUUUUGGGGUAUUGUUGAGAACAUUAUAAAUUUAAGAAGAUAAGAAAUCGAUUUUUUCAAGGGUUGAGUUUGAUUUAAUAUCAUUGCAUAAAUGAAUAAAAACUGCUUAAGAUUCAUCUUUGGGUUCUAAUUAUGUGGUUAUCUAAUAUAAAGAGAAUCUUUAGAUGGUUGACAAAAAAAGAGAGUUCGUAGAAAAUGAGAGUACAGUAUGUAUAUUUUAUACUAAAACGAGUAUACACAAAUAUGUCAUAUAAACAUUUUGUCUCUACACCUGCAAAUUACAAUAUCAGUGGGGCAUGUUUCCAUUAACUUUUUGUAGUAGUGGUUAGAUGUUAGUUGUCUGAACUCUAUUUAUUUAUUUUUAAAUUUUGAAUAUUCAUAUUUCAAUUUGGUCCUACUUUGUUUGACAUAAAUUAGGAAAUCUAAACUAAUUUUAUUUGCUUGGCGGACCAAAUGGUACGUCGCCUUUGUUAAAAGCUUUAUUAGGUGGGAAACUUUAUUUGCUAAUUAUAAAAUGUACCUCUAUAUUGGACAAGUUUUAGUUAAUUGCUUCGUAUGUACAUCCUCUUAUCACAUGAAUACAUUCCAUUAGACUAAAAAACAAACAAAAACUCCAAGCUAAUAAAUCAUUAAAAAUAGUAAUAAUUUUAAAAUCCUCACCCAGCGCUAUAUAAUUAUUUGUCUUAUAUAUAACACUCCACAUUCCACAUCAUAAUAUAACAGUGAGAAGAUAUGUUAUCGAGUUUCAUGUAUAUUUAAAUAUUUUGUUGUUUAGCUUGAUGGACUGGUCGUAGGUGGCUAUAUACCAAGUUAUUCGACAGCCGUGAUAAAGUGUUUAUAAAGAAGGUAAAGAUAGAGAAGAAGGAAAAACAUAAAGAACAAAAGAACAUAUUUGUGAAGUCAAUACCAAGAACAUACUAGUGUCAAAGUAAAAAAAGAAGGCAGAAGAAAGAAGUAAAGAUUGUUAUAAUAAUUAUGUCAACAUACUGUUAGUUGGCACAAAGUGGAUUUAAAAGCUUUUGCACCACCAGAUCAAAAGAAGGUGCGCAGUGAUAACGAGGAAAGAAAGAAAAAAAAGAAUGAAAGUUCAGCUAGCACUAAAGUAAACCUUGGAUACCUAUUAGGCUUUUGUAUAAAUAAUAGAUUAAAAUUGUAUUAAAACUAUACUAUAUGAAAAAAACGGUGCUUAUCAGUUAUCACAUCACACAUCCUUUUGCUUCUAUUGAUUUAGUUUGGGCUAACUAGCCCAAUAAGUACUCUAUUCCAUGUUUAUUGGGUUUCUAAUCAAAUAGAAUAGCAGAAAGUUGAUAUAUGAAAAAGGCAAUUGUAGAGUUGCUUCUCUUCUUUUAUAUGUAAACCCUAAUUUGCAAAUAGUAAAUUUUCUCAAAAAAACGUUAACAAGAAGUGGUGACAAUGUCCGAAUCCUUCUCUGAAGAACCACCGCGUAAUAAGAAGAAGAAGCCAUCCAUGUCUCCGUCGUUUUCCUUAUCGUCGCUGCCAGAUGAGGUGGCUUUGAGCUGCAUGGCUCUACUCUCGAGAUCGGACCAUGCAUCCUUAUCUCGCGUCUCCAAGAGAUACCGCUCUCUCGUGGCUUCCCCUGAGCUCUACAAGAUUCGCUCGCAGCUAGGUUACAGCUGCUUCUACGUAUGCUUGAGCAUCCACGGUCCUUACUCAACCCCACGUUGGUUCAUCAUCAGCCGUGAAAAAACCGUGAACAGGCUCAUGACCCCUAUCCCUCCUUGCCCUUCUUCUCACCCUUUGAAAGGAUUCUCCGUGGUGUCGCUUGACUGUGGCAUAUAUGUAAUCGGUGGGUCCAUAACGAGAAAGAGAGAGUACUUCCGUUCUUCGGACCCCCCUUCUUCUAGUGUGUUGCUCUUGGAUUGUCGGACUCACACGUGGCGUCAAGUCCCUUCCAUGAAAGUGGCUCGAUGUGAGGCGGCUGCUGGAGUCGUUGAUGGGAAGAUAUACGUGUUUGGAGGCUGCGGCCAUAAUGAGACCUAUGGAGAGGUAUUUGACCCAAAGACUCAAACGUGGACUACUUUGCCGCCAGUGCCGGAUAGUGUAAAAGAGUAUGUCCCAUUCAAAAAGACCAUGGUGAUGGGUGAGAAGAUUUACCCAGUGCCUUUCUGGAAUUCACCAAACCUAUUAUACUACUCUCCCAACGAAGGUAUAUGGGGAAGAAGGAUGAAGGAUGUUGAUGUUUCGAAGAUAGGAACCAAAAGUUAUUGUUUUAGUAUGGCAGAGAAUGUAUUAUACAGUUGUGAUGACUACGGGAAUAUGUUUUGGAGUGAGCCAGAGGAUUCGGAUUGGAAUAAAGUCGAGGGUUUAGGGGCUCUACAUAAUCAUUUUUACAAACCGCUGGCUAGCUUUAUUUGGGAUACGUCACCGUGUGAUGAGUUGUUGAGAACUUUCGGUACCAACAUUUUGAUCUUUUGGUUCAAGUAUAACCCUAAGAAUACGAAAGUGGAUAUCUGGUGUGCCGAGAUUUCCUUUGAAAGACUCCAUGACAAAGGUGAGAUUAUCGGUAAGAUUGAGUGGUUGCAAUCUGUUGCUGGAGUUAAAGGCCAUUCCUCGAGUCACCUUGAGGUUUUACAUUCUGCUUAUGUCAAUGUUUAGACUCUAUAUACAUCUGAUCAUCACAAGGUGUUUCAUUGUGCUUCUAUGUGUUUUAAAACAAAAACUUUUCUCUGGGGCAACUUCAUCAUCCCAUUCUAUCGUUGCAUAAUUGUAGUAAUUAUGUGAUGAUUUCAUGUAACUAUAAAAUACUUUAAUUUAUAGCCUGUGUAUUGGUUUCUUUACUUAUCAUUUUUGUGUGGGUGUAUACAUUGACUCGACUAUGAGCUUGUUAGAAGCGUUUGCAACCAUACUAUCUCGUUUGCUUAGUUAACUUAAUUACAACUGUAUUGCUUAGUGAUGUUGUUGUUGUUGCUAAAAGGACAAACAAAAGUAACUUUGUAUCAUCUUAUUGGAUAAACUUAUGAAAACCCUUUGACAAACAAAAGUUCUGUCACAAGGUCUUGUGUUAUCAUAUUUUUUUUAAAAAAAUUUAAUAUCAAAACAACAGCAAAUACAUAUGACUCUUGACUUUAAGCAUCUGCAGCAAAUAAAAGGUAUGUUCCAUCUGUGCUGACUCGAACUAGUUUAUAGGAGUUAAGACCCACAGGCUGAUAAACGCGUGUCAUUUCAUCUUUAGACGAGGUCAGUUGUCGUCGUUUUGAUAAAAGCCAUUUGCUCAUUCUCCCACUCUUAAGCCGACGCGAGCCGUAUUUAAGCUGUCUCCUACCACGGGUAUUUGUAAUCGUAUUCGAAUCUUUUUUUUCUUUCUAAUACAAUACAGUAUUAGUUUGUAAUUUAUCACUUUUGUUUCAUUUCUUUAUAAUCGCACUAGUGCUGAUUGUUUACAUUUUAUUAAUCGUAAAUGUAUUUUUCUUUUUGGAAAACAUUAGAAAAUUAAGGAAAUCAAUGACGAUGUAUCAAACGACCUAUUACCAGAGUUUCAUUAUAAUAUAAUUAGUUAUAUAUAUAUAUAUAUAUAGAAUUUUAAUUUAUCUUAAUCUACGCAUAAGAUUAUUCCUAGUGCAGUUUAUAUUGUUUAGAUGGUAUUGCGUUUGAGAAUUAGGGGAGUUCAAUUUAUUAGGAUUGAGUGGUAUUCAUGUCGAACUAUCGAAUAGUCUCUAAGUCAUAAACUAGUACUACACAUGUAUUAAUUUAAAAAUUUGCUGCAUUUAUUUGGCAAAAAAAAAGUUUGCUGUACUCUAAAAUAAAAUUAAAAUCUCUAUAUAUUCAAAGGAUCACAUCAGCUAAUUAAAUGUUUCCAAAUUUGAGUGUUAUAAAAUUUUCCAGAAAUAACGUUGAUAGCUGAGAGGGACCUUUGAAAAUCAUCACAUCUUAUAAUUAUAUGUUCACAAAUUAUUUUAUUAAACCCCAUUUGCGUGUUUAUGUAUAUUUAAUUAUUUAUAUACAAAUUGAAAAGCCUUUCAACAAAUCAUCAAUAAGGUUUAAACCUAAAUUAACAAUCUAUAGCGAAAUCAUUCCUCCUUAACCUAGAAUCUAAAUCCAGAAGACGAAUCGGCUAAUCAAACGACUAACGAAGAAACAAUCUGAGGAUUCGGGAAAAGAACUUUUACCUUCUCUGCGUCGCUUUCGCUUCUCUGAAUUCAAAUUAGUGCUCCGAUCUCGAAAAGGGAAGAUAAUGAAAGUAAUCUCACGUGUAGGGCUGUUGAUAUUUAAUUUAUAGGCAACGAUGUCAAAAGCAAGUUGACGAUCCUACGGUUGUUAUCGCUCAUCGGUGUGUUUCUCGUGUUUCUUAAUCG
rnacentral:lncRNA from 1 species